GGCACANAGAGGCGAUGAAGGACGUAGGAACCUGCGAUAAGUUUCGGGGAGGCGGUAACCAGCCUUUGAUCCGGAAAUUUCCGAAUGGGGGAACCCACCUAGUGUAAGCUAGGUAUCUUUAACUGAAUACAUAGGUUAAAGAAGCGAACCUGGGGAACUGAAACAUCUAAGUACCCAGAGGAAAAGAUAUCAACCGAUAUUCCCUUAGUAGCGGCGAGCGAACGGGGAACAGCCCUUAAGCUGUUUAUAGGUUAGUGGAACGGUCUGGAAAGUCCGGCGAUACAGGGUGAUAGCCCCGUACACGAAAACCUGUUUAGAUUGUGAAAUCGAGUAGGACGGGACACGUGGUAUCCUGUUUGAACAUGGGGGGACCAUCCUCCAAGGCUAAAUACUCCUAGUUGACCGAUAGUGAACCAGUACCGUGAGGGAAAGGCGAAAAGAACCCCUGUGAGGGGAGUGAAAUAGAACCUGAAACCGUAUGCGUACAAGCAGUGGGAGCAGAUUUAUUCUGUGACUGCGUACCUUUUGUAUAAUGGGUCAGCGACUUAACGUUUGUAGCAAGCUUAACCGUUUAGGGGAGGCGUAGCGAAAGCGAGUCUUAAUAGGGCGACUUAGUUGCAGGCGUUAGACCCGAAACCGGGCGAUCUACCCAUGGCCAGGUUGAAGGUGCCGUAACAGGCACUGGAGGACCGAACCCACUUAUGUUGAAAAAUGAGGGGAUGAGCUGUGGGUCGGAGUGAAAGGCUAAUCAAGCCCGGAGAUAGCUGGUUCUCCGCGAAAUCUAUUUAGGUAGAGCGUCAAGUAUUACCCUCGGGGGUAGAGCACUGUUUGGGCUAGGGGGUCAUCCCGACUUACCAAACCCAUGCAAACUCCGAAUACCGAGGAGUACAGCUUGGCAGACACACGGCGGGUGCUAACGUCCGUCGUGGAGAGGGAAACAACCCAGACCACCAGCUAAGGUCCCAAAUAUCAGUUAAGUGGGAAACGAUGUGGGAAGGCUUAGACAGCUAGGAGGUUGGCUUAGAAGCAGCCACCCUUUAAAGAAAGCGUAAUAGCUCACUAGUCGAGUCGGCCUGCGCGGAAGAUGUAACGGGGCUAAACUGAUAACCGAAGCUGUGGACGCAUGCUUGCAUGCGUGGUAGCGGAGCGUUCUGUAAGCGGUUGAAGGCGAAUCGAGAGGUUCGUUGGACGUAUCAGAAGUGCGAAUGCUGACAUGAGUAACGAUAAAGGGAGUGAAAAACUCCCUCGCCGGAAGACCAAGGUUUCCUGCCCCAUGCUAAUCAGGGCAGGGUGAGUCGGCCCCUAAGGCGAGGGCGAAAGCCGUAGUCGAUGGGAAACAGGUUAAUAUUCCUGUACUACACAUUAGUGCGAUGGAGAGACGGAGAAGGCUAGACUAGCGCGGCGUUGGUUGUCCGCGUUCAAGCUUGUAGGCCGGCAACUUAGGUAAAUCCGGGUUGCUAAAGCCGAGAUGUGAUAACGAACUCCUUCGAAAGAUCGAGUGAAGUAGUUAAUGCCAUGCUUCCAAGAAAAUCUUCUAAGCUUCAGCUAAUGUGUAAUCGUACCCCAAACCGACACAGGUGGUCAGGUAGAGAAUACCAAGGCGCUUGAGAGAACUCGGGUGAAGGAACUAGGCAAAAUGGUACCGUAACUUCGGGAGAAGGUACGCCGGNUUUGGUGAUGGGACUUGCUCNCUAAGCUGAGGCNGGUCGCAGUGACCAGGUGGCUGCAACUGUUUAUUAAAAACAUAGCACUCUGCAAACNCGUAAGNGGAAGUAUAGGGUGUGACGCCUGCCCGGUGCCGGAAGGUUAAUUGAUGGGGUUANCUUCGGNGAAGCUCUUGAUNGAAGCCCCGGUAAACGGCGGCCGUAACNAUAACGGUCCUAAGGUAGCGAAAUUCCUUGUCGGGUAAGUUCCGACCUGCACGAAUGGCGUAAUGAUGGCCACACUGUCUCCACCCGAGACUCAGUGAAAUUGAAUUCGCGGUCAAGAUGCCGUGUUCCCGCAGCUAGACGGAAAGACCCCGUGAACCUUUACUAUAGUUUGGCACUGGACUCUGAUAUAACUUGUGUAGGAUAGCUGGGAGGCUUUGAAACUGUGACGCCAGUUGCAGUGGAGCCACCCUUGAAAUACCAGCCUGGUUAUGUUGGGGUUCUAACUCAGGUCCAUUAUCUGGAUCGAGGACAGUGUCUGAUGGGUAGUUUGACUGGGGCGGUCUCCUCCCAAAGAGUAACGGAGGAGCACGAAGGUACGCUAAUCAUGGUCGGAAAUCAUGAGCUUAGUGCAAUGGCAUAAGCGUGCUUGACUGCGAGACUGACAAGUCGAGCAGGUACGAAAGUAGGUCAUAGUGAUCCGGCGAUUCUGUAUGGAAGGGUCGUCGCUCAACGGAUAAAAGGUAC
rnacentral:rRNA from 1 species